rnacentral:rRNA from 1 species
UACGAAGGGGGCUAGCGUUGCUCGGAAUCACUGGGCGUAAAGCGCACGUAGGCGGCUUUCUAAGUCAGGGUGAAAUCCUGGAGGCUCAACUCCAGAACUGCCUUUGAUACUGGAAGCUUGAGUCCGGGAGAGGUGAGUGGAACUCCGAGUGUAGAGGUGAAAUUCGUAGAUAUUCGGAAGAACACCAGUGGCGAAGGCGGCUCACUGGCCCGGUACUGACGCUGAGGUGCGAAAGCGUGGGGAGCAAACAGG